GACAGAGGUGCCGAGCGUUAGGCGGAAUCACUGGGCUUAAAGCGUGUGUAGGGGGGUGCCUAAGUACCUUGUGAAAUCCCACGGCUCAACCGUGGAACUGCUUGGUAUACUGGGUAUCUUGAGCCACUUAGGGGCAACCGGAACAAACGGUGGAGCGGUGAAAUGCGUAGAUAUCGUCUGGAACGCCGAAGGUGAAAACAGCUCGCUGGGGCUGUGCUGACGCUGAGACACGAAAGCCAGGGGAGCGAACGGG
rnacentral:rRNA from 1 species